GCCGAAGUGGUGAAAUUGGUAGACACGCACGUUUCAGGGGCGUGAGCCGUAACAGGUGUGCGGGUUCGAGUCCCGCCUUCGGCACCA
rnacentral:tRNA from 1 species